rnacentral:tRNA from 1 species
GUGGUUGUAGCUUAGUGGCAGAGUGCUUGCCUUGGACGUGUGAGGCACUGGGUUCAAGCCUCAGCACCACA